GCUCCAGUGGCGCAAUUGGUUAGCGCACGGUACUUAUAAGACAGUGUACGUGUGAGUAAUGCCGGGGUUGUGAGUUCGAGCCUCACCUGGAGAA
rnacentral:tRNA from 1 species